UACGUAGGCAGCAAGCGUUGUUCGGAAUUACUGGGCGUAAAGCGUGCGCAGGCGGUUAUGUAAGACAGAUGUGAAAUGCCCGGGCUUAACCUGGGAACUGCAUUUGUGACUGCAUGGCUAGAGUUUGGCAGAGGGGGGUAGAAUUCCACGUGUAGCAGUGAAAUGCGUAGAUAUGUGGAGGAACACCGAUGGCGAAGGCAGCCCCCUGGGUCAAGACUGACGCUCAUGCACGAAAGCGUGGGGAGCAAACAGG
rnacentral:rRNA from 1 species